GCCCCUGUAGCGCAAUGGGUAGUGCGUUGGACUCCUAAUCCAAAGGUCGUGGGCUCGAAUCCCACCUGGGACG